UUUGAUCAAAUCUUCAAUAUAUUUUGUUUCGUAUAGUAUUUAUAUAAUUUAUAUUUUGUUUUAAGAUUACCCAGCUAAAGUUUGUUCGUGUCUUGUUAAUUUCGUUAUUUUUUCUACCCGUCGAUUACAUUUUCGAAUCAUUACGAAAACAAUACUGUGUAUAUUGUAGUUUAUAAAAACGUUUUAAUGUGCAGUAUAAACGAUAAUAUUAUUUGGUGCACUCUCACUCUGUUAUUGCCGGCUUAACUCGAGGACUAAACUAACGGUUUUUUUUUUUUGCAUAUUUUGAUCGCCACCGAAUCACGCAGUGCAGUCUAUUAUAUUAUAUAGGUAAGCGACGGAUUUAUCAUAUUUUACCUUUUUUUGUGGGCGUGUUUACUCGAUAAAAUUGAUCAAAUAUGAAUAAAGGUAAACCCAUAGACAUAUUAAGAUAAAUCGACCGGUAAUGAUCAUAAAACCAUUGUUGUAUUACAAACAGCGCAUUUGCGGUUUUAUCAAAGAUUAUCUAAAUGCAGUAAAUAGGUAUUAUACGUACUUAUUAUAGACUACUAAUAGUAUCUUAUGGUAUCUUAUAGUAGUCUUAUGAAUGCAAUAAUCCGUAUUUG